rnacentral:tRNA from 1 species
UGGGGCGUAGCCAAGCGGUAAGGCAAUGGGUUUUGAUCCCGCUAUUCGGAGGUUCGAAUCCUUCCGUCCCAG